GCUCCCCGUUAUGUGCGGAGGCAGAGCGAAAGGGCCCCGGCCCUCCCGGCGGCAUGUCUUUGGUGUCAGUGGAUUCUGGUUCUCCAGUUCUAUCCUCAGACGCCGGGACAUUU